rnacentral:rRNA from 1 species
UACGAAGGGGGCUAGCGUUGUUCGGAUUUACUGGGCGUAAAGCGCACGUUAGGCGGAUCGUUAAGUCGGGGGUGAAAUCCUGGAGCUCAACUCCAGAACUGCCUUCGAUACUGGCGAUCUUGAGUCCGGAAGAGGUGAGUGGAACUCCUAGUGUAGAGGUGGAAUUCGUAGAUAUUAGGAAGAACACCAGUGGCGAAGGCGGCUCACUGGUCCGGUACUGACGCUGAGGUGCGAAAGCGUGGGGAGCA